rnacentral:rRNA from 1 species
UACGUAUGGUGCAAGCGUUAUCCGGAUUUACUGGGUGUAAAGGGAGCGUAGACGGCGAUGCAAGCCAGAUGUGAAAGCCCGGGGCUCAACCCCGGGACUGCAUUUGGAACUGUAUAGCUAGAGUGUCGGAGAGGCAGGCGGAGUUCCUAGUGUAGCGGUGAAAUGCGUAGAUAUUAGGAGGAACACCAGUGGCGAAGGCGGCCUGCUGGACGAUGACUGAUGUUGAGGCUCGAAAGCGUGGGGAGCAAACAGG